rnacentral:misc_RNA from 1 species
CCGAGCGCAAGCUCCGGACCGCGCGGACCAUGCAGUUCUCUGCGCCCCGGCGGGGGGCCCCAGGGGGGGGCCGCGGGGGACCCGCCGGCGGCAAUCUCCUCUGUCGCCGUACCUAUACCCUUCUGAACCUUCCAAACA